rnacentral:misc_RNA from 1 species
GUUUUGUUCUCCAAAUUUGAGAUUGUUGCUUUGAUUUGUUUAUCUCAGCUAUCAAGCAGAUCAAAUUGCACCCAAAAAAAGAAAUUACUGAUUUUUUUGCUUAAUAGUCUGAAACUGGUUGUUGCUAACUGGCAGAAUUGAUGUCUGGCUUUUUCUACAAAUGUGGACAGAACCUCAUUUCCUUUUUUCUGUAACUUCAUGGUGGAAAAAG